AGAAAUUUUUUUUUUUUAUUUUAUUUUAUUUUUUUAGAAAGAGGUAGCAUUGAACAAAUGAACUAGGCUACAGGGGUGAGGCAACUGAGGCCUUUGACAGAAAGCGCGAUUAAAAAAAAAAAAAAAGCAGGGCAUUAGAAAUUAAAUUGUCUUCAUAAAGUAGAGCAUGUACUGUAUAUUUGAGAGAGAAAAAUAGCAGACUAUUCGUUUUUUUUUUUUUUUAAGAGAAAAACUUAGUUAUAAAUAUAAAACAAUUUAGUUUCGAACUCGAAACUUUAGAUGCCAAUU
rnacentral:lncRNA from 1 species